GCCGUACCAUGCUUGAAUGUACCGGUUCUCGUUAGAUCCCGAAGUUACGCAUCAAACAUGCGGUCAGUACUUGGGUGGGUGACCACCUGGGAACACUGCGUGCUGUU